GCUAUGCGAAAUGCUAACAGUACCUGCAGUUGAAACGAUACAGAGAAGAUUAGCAUGGCCCCUGCACUAAGGAUGACACGCUACUCAAAGAGACGCUACCAAUUUUU
rnacentral:snRNA from 1 species